GAAAAUUCUGGACCCGUGUGAGGUUUGCUUCCAUGGAGGUAACUAGGCACUUUCAACACAAGCGAACAAGACCACACAACUGUAUGAUGCCUAUCAAUAUUACAACAUGUAACUGGGCACUUUCAACACAAGUGAACAAGACCACACAACUGUAUGAUGCCUAGCAAAAUGUAAAAUGUG